UGUGGCAAGUUGUUAAGGGCACAUGGUGGAUGCCUUGGCAUCGAGAGCCGAUGAAGGACGUGGGAGCCUGCGAUAUGCCCUGGGGAGUUGGCAACCGAGCGUUGAUCCGGGGAUGUCCGAAUGGGGAAACCCAGCACGAGUUAUGUCGUGUUACCUGCACCUGAAUGAAAUAGGGUGUGUGGAGGGGAACAAGGGGAAGUGAAACAUCUCAGUACCCUUAGGAAGAGAAAACAACCGUGAUUCCGAGAGUAGUGGCGAGCGAAAUCGGAUGAGGCUAAACCUACUUCAUGUGAUAGCCGGUAGGCGUUGUGGAGUGGGGGUUGUGGGAGUGUUGUUGUUGCCUCUGCCGGGGUGGCGCACAGUAAGAAACCAGACACGAGGUCGAAGUCCGUUGGAAAGCGGUGCCGUAGCGGGUGAUAGCCCCGUAGACGAUAGGGUCUGGCUGUGUUCAGCAUUUCCCAAGUAACACGCUACUCCUGGAAUGGUGUGUGAAUCUGGCGGGACCACCCGUUAAGCCUAAAUACUCCUCGAUGACCGAUAGCGGACCAGUACCGUGAGGGAAAGGUGAAAAGUACCCCUGGCGGGGAGUGAAAUAGUACCUGAACCAUGUGCCUACAAUCCGUCAGAGCCUUACAGGGUGAUGGCGUGCCUUUUGAAGAAUGAGCCUGCGAGUUAGCGAUACGUGGCGAGGUUAACCCGUGUGGGGUAGCCGUAGCGAAAGCGAGUCCGAAUAGGGCGUUUGAGUCGCGUGUUCUAGACCCGAAGCGGAGUGAUCUAUCCAUGGGCAGGUUGAAGCGCCGGUAAGACGGCGUGGAGGACCGAACCCACUUCAGUUGAAAAUGGAGGGGAUGACCUGUGGAUAGGGGUGAAAGGCCAAUCAAACUCCGUGAUAGCUGGUUCUCCCCGAAAUGCAUUUAGGUGCAGCGUUGCGUGUUUCUUGCCGGAGGUAGAGCACUGGAUAGCCGAUGGGCCCGACCAGGUUACUGACGUUAGCCAAACUCCGAAUGCCGGUAAGUGUGAGCGUGGCAGUGAGACUGUGGGGGAUAAGCUUCAUAGUCGAGAGGGAAACAGCCCAGACCAUCGGCUAAGGCCCCUAAGAGGCGGCUAAGUGGAAAAGGAUGUGGAGUCGCAGUGACAACCAGGAGGUUGGCUUGGAAGCAGCCACCCUUGAAAGAGUGCGUAAUAGCUCACUGGUCAAGUGAUUCCGCGCCGACAAUGUAGCGGGGCUCAAGCCGCCCGCCGAAGCCAUGGCAAUCGCAUUCAACCCAGGCGUCUCCUUGAGAGGCGUCCAGGGGUGCGGUUGGGUAGGGGAGCGUCGUGUCACGGGUGAAGCGCCGGAGUGAUCCAGGUGUGGAUGUGACACGAGUGAGAAUGCAGGCAUGAGUAGCGAAUCACGGGUGAGAAACCCGUGCGCCGAUUGAUCAAGGGUUCCAGGGUCAAGCUAAUCUGCCCUGGGUAAGUCGGGACCUAAGGCGAGGCCGACAGGCGUAGUCGAUGGACAACGGGUUGAUAUUCCCGUACCGGCGAAAUGGCGCCCAUGAUGAGCCCGGUGAUGCUAACCACCCAAAGCACCUCGUAUCAAUGCCUUCGGGCUGCGAGCUUGGUGUGGAGCGUGGGACCCGACCCGGUAGUAGUCAAGCGAUGGGGUGACACAGGAAGGUAGCCCAACCGCCGCGAUGGUAGACGGCGGGUAAGCAUGUAGGGGGUGUGGUAGGCAAAUCCGCCACACGGCCGUUUGAUCGGUGGCCCUGAGAUGUGAUGCCGACCCCGUAGGGGGGAAGUGGGUGAUCCUAUGCUGUCGAGAAAAACCUCUAGCGAGCCAUGAGCCGCCCGUACCCGAAACCGACUCAGGUGAUCAGGUAGAGAAUACCGAGGCGAUCGAGACAACCAUGGUUAAGGAACUCGGCAAAAUGCCCCCGUAACCGACUGUUUACUAAAAACACAGGUCCGUGCGAAGUUGUAAGACGAUGUAUACGGACUGACUCCUGCCCGGUGCUGGAAGGUUAAGAGGACGGGUUAGACCGCAAGGUCGAAGCUCAGAAUUUAAGCCCCAGUAAACGGCGGUGGUAACUAUAACCAUCCUAAGGUAGCGAAAUUCCUUGUCGGGUAAGUUCCGACCUGCACGAAUGGAGUAACGACUUUCCUACUGUCUCAACCAUGGACUCGGCGAAAUUGCACUACGAGUAAAGAUGCUCGUUACGCGCGGCAGGACGGAAAGACCCCGGGACCUUUACUAUAGUUUGGCAUUGGUGUUUGGUUCGGCUUGUGUAGGAUAGGUGGGAGACUGUGAAACCUCGACGCCAGUUGGGGUGGAGUCAACGUUGAAAUACCACUCUGGUCGUACUAGAUGUCUAACCUAGGGCCAUGAUCUGGUUCAGGGACAGUGCCUGAUGGGUAGUUUAACUGGGGCGGUUGCCUCCCAAAGAGUAACGGAGGCGCUCAAAGGUUCCCUCAGCCUGGUUGGCAAUCAGGUGUUGAGUGUAAGUGCACAAGGGAGCUUGACUGUGAGACAGACAUGUCGAGCAGGGACGAAAGUCGGAACUAGUGAUCCGGCAACUGCGAGUGGAAGCGUUGUCGCUCAACGGAUAAAAGGUACCCCGGGGAUAACAGGCUGAUCUUCCCCAAGAGUCCAUAUCGACGGGAUGGUUUGGCACCUCGAUGUCGGCUCGUCGCAUCCUGGGGCUGGAGUAGGUCCCAAGGGUUGGGCUGUUCGCCCAUUAAAGCGGCACGCGAGCUGGGUUUAGAACGUCGUGAGACAGUUCGGUCCCUAUCCGCCGCGCGCGUAGGAAACUUGAGAAAGGCUGUCCCUAGUACGAGAGGACCGGGAUGGACGAACCUCUGGUGUGCCAGUUGUACCGCCAGGUGCAUGGCUGGUUGGCUACGUUCGGAAGUGAUAACCGCUGAACGCAUCUAAGCGGGAAGCACGUUUCAAGAUGAGGUUUCCCACCCCUUGUGGGUUAAGGCCCCCAAAAGAUGAUUGGGUUGAUAGGCCGGAGGUGUACAGCAGCAAUGCCCAGCCGACCGGUACUAAUAGGCCGAAGACUUGCCACAACA
rnacentral:rRNA from 1 species